CAAUUCUUCUCCAAGAAGCAAGAUGAUCCUAGUCAUCUCCUCCUUUAUGUUGGUGUUUUGGCUUGAGAAAAGAAAAUGAGGGUGUAGAAGACAAGAUUAAGAGAUGGAUUUUUGGAACUUUAGCUUUGGAGGAAUGGAGUCUGUGGCUAGCUUUGAGAGCGCAUUGUACAGGCAUAGUGAUAUUUCUGAUGGUAUUACUUUAGAACUGGUGGAUUGUGUAAUGUAUUAUAUUGGAGAUUAGUCAUUUAUGGUUGUUUAAUGUUUGUAGAUUCAUUGAUAGUUAGAUAGAACCUUUUAGCCUUUGCGUUUGGGUUUAGUGAGUUGACCCGAGUGUGGCGUGACACCCAUAGUUUAAGUUUUGAUUUCGCUUUCGCAUUUAUUUUCAGUAUGGUUAGUAAGAAAGAUUGUUGAUUUAUGCUUUA